UGGAGUCUGCAACUCGACUCCAUGAAGUCGGAAUCGCUAGUAAUCGUAGAUCAGAAUGCUACGGUGAAUACGUUCCCGGGCCUUGUACACACCGCCCGUCACACCAUGGGAGUGGGUUGCAAAAGAAGUAGGUAGCUUAACCUUCGGGAGGGCGCUUACCACUUUGUGAUUCAUGACUGGGGUGAAGUCGUAACAAGGUAACCGUAGGGGAACCUGCGGUUGGAUCACCUCCUUA
rnacentral:ncRNA from 1 species